rnacentral:lncRNA from 1 species
ACAGCUCAAACGUUGCCUUCGCAGCCUAUACCUGGACAGGACCCAACAGAUUGUAUGUCAUCCCUGUAUGCUAUUCCGAACUGUCUCCAAGAAAUUGUCCAUUCGUUUGUAAACGGAGAAUUCGGGACUAUUGGUCACUCUUGUUGUCAUGCCUUUUUGGGUCUCAGUGCAGAUUGUAUUACUGAGAGGUUUGCCUUCGCUCCCCAAUUCCCUCCGACUCUAAGGGAUCAUUGUUCCCGACAAUGAUGAUUAUAACAAUUAAUGUCAUAAUCCUUUCCAGUCUUUGUUUCGAAAUGUGCUAUCAAACAAUGUUAUGUUUCUGCUUAUUAACAACUUUUAACUUCCAUAUAAACACUAUCUUACCUGCUUUAGCCAUAUUUCAUGUUGAUGUAAACAUAUUGCGGAUAACUAAAUCAUAAUAAGGAUAUAUUACAAUACAUGUUAUGGUUUCCGACUUGAGAGUAUUAUGGGCUUUGGUCCAAAAACUCGUGAUAAUAUGAACAAGUUUGGUUCCUCACAAAGCAUAAGUGUUCUCCUUCGGCGUUGAUUGGUCACGUUAAUACCAUACUAUUUGUUACUAUCUUGUACACGAAAUAUCUUUCGGUAUGCAAGGGUAAGUAACAUACUUUUAAUUUCUAUUUAUGAUGAGAGUUACCUGGAUACAAACUGAGAUAUUAAGACAUCAUACACUACUCAGAAUCUGAGUUACCUGAAUUCAUAUUAAUGCCUUAAACAAGUUCAAGAACUAAUGUAUCAGUUAAAAAAAAAAAAGUUCAAGAACUAGUGUAGAUCAAACAGCUAGUUUAAGCAAAAAUGAAUAUUAUUGCAGAUCAAUUGCAGUUGUAGAACAAAUAGUACAAAACCACCAUUUCAUAAUAUAUGAUAUUUUAGAAUGUUUUUGGUGUUUCCAAAAUAUAUUGUCUUAGGAUGUUUUGAGAUUUCUAUGUUAACUUUAUUGAAAAGCUGUUUUACCAGUUAUAUUUUUCAUUCUUUUUUUUAUGAUUGGUUGAAUUAAUUUUAAUUAUAUUUUUAAUAAGGUUUUUUAGAGAAAAGUAAUUUCUUAAUCUGUGUUUAAGCAUUACAUUCUACAAUAUGAAACAUAGGGAGUAUUAAAUUCUAUCACCCUAAUAAACCAUACAGAAUAAUAUUUGGAUAUUAAUCGCAAAAACAAGAUGAAGAUUGAGUUGAAGACAUAGUUUCGAUGGGUUUUUUCAAAAAUAAACUUAGAUACAAGACAACAACAAAUGUAAAAACAUAAGCCCCCNNNNNNNNNNNNNNNNNNNNNNNNNNNNNNNNNNNNNNNNNNNNNNNNNNNNNNNNNNNNNNNNNNNNNNNNNNNNNNNNNNNNNNNNNNNNNNNNNNNCUUUUAUGUCUGAGUUUGCCAUAACUUUAUUUUAAAUGACAUCUUCUCUUAGGCAUGGAUAUUCGAGUCCUCUAGUCGGGUUCGGAUAAGGUUUAGUCGGGUAUAGGUUCUUCGGGUCUUAUAUAUUAGAAUUUAAUAUGGUAAUUAAAACUUGUCAGUUCAUGAUCGGUUCGGAUUAUAUCGGGUCAUGAAGGCUCCGGAUCAUUUGGGGUCCAAUUGUCUAGGAACUGCUAAUAUCCACUAUUUUUUGGUUCCUAAAAAGUUUGGUUUCGGGUAUUUAAGACCCGAUUACCCGAAAAGAACUCGAAACCUGAAAAAAUACCUGAAACUCCGGAAAAUACCUAAAAUUUUAUCCAAAAUCUAACCCGUAUACCCGAAAAAUACCCAAAAUUUUAUAUGAUUACCCGAAUUAUAUUCUCGAAGAUCCAAAAUUUUACCUGAAACCCAAAACUAUACCCAAAACCCAACACGGUACCGGAAAACCAAAUCCAAAACUUAAAAAAAAUAUCUAUAAUACGAAAAAUAUACUGAAACAUCCAUAUAUACUAGAAAUUUUGGAUAUACAGGUCUCAGGUUCGGUUCGGUUCGGGUCGAGUCCAAGACCCGUGAAUCCUCUACAACAAAAUCUAAUGGUGUAAAAUAGAAUUACUCGUACCCGAAUCCAUUUUUCCGGGUCGGUUCCAGUUUGGAUUUUUGGGUCCGGGUAAAAUACCCAUGUCUAUCCUCCGUUUAUGUUCAAAUUUUUAUCAGUACACUCAUUUAUGCUGAUACCGAGAUGGUUAAGGAAGUUCUCAACGUACAAUUAUUCGAAUAAUAAAUCAAUUUAAGUAAGAAAAGUAAAAUGUCAGGAAAAAUUGAUACUAAUAAUUAGAAGAGAAAAUCAAAUUUGUAACAGUUUUGUGAACUUCAAAAAGAGUCGUACGAAGAAGAAUAAGAGGACUAAUACUGUAGUAAACUAUCAGAAGGAACCAUCAAUAAUACGAAACAAACUGUGUUAACCUUUAUUUAGGGUCAUCCCAAGAAUGCCUAUGUUAAUUGACAAAGAAACCGUUCACAUAAAUGAAAUGUAGUGAAAUUUCACAUUUUUAUCGUCCUAUAUAUAUAUCCAAUCACUGACUAAUAUUAAACCCAUACCAAAGCUUAAACAUCAAUAACUUAUUACAAUUCUCUUAUCAAAAAUUCGGAUGAUCAACAAGUUUUUAUUCCUUCUGCCAGUUGCAUUCAUGGCCGUGUUUGGUACAGCUCAAACGUUGCCUUCGCAGCCUAUACUGGACAGGACCCAGCAGAGUGUUUGUUAUUCCCAACUGUAUCCCAGAAAUUAUCCAAUCGUUAGUAAACGGAGAAAUCGGGACUGUUAGUCAUUCUUGUUGUCAUGCCUUCUUAGGUCUCAGUGCAGAUUGUAUUACUGAGAGGUUUGACUUCACUCCAGAAGACUUCCCUCCGGCUCUAAGAGAUUAUUGUUCCCGACAAUGAUGAUAAAUGACAAUGAAUGCCAUAAUCCUUUCGAGUCUUUGUUUCAAGGGUGUUAUUAUUAUCCUACAUGUUCUAGGUCAUAAAUGUGCUAUUCCCAACAAUGUUAUGUUUCUGCUUAAAUAAUAACUCCUUUUUACUUACAUAUUCCAUAUUUCAUGUUAAUGUAAACAUCUUGCGGAUAACUAAA